CCCUUAGAGUUUGAUCCUGGCUCAGAACGAACGCUGGCGGCAUGCCUAACACAUGCAAGUCGAACGAAGGCCCUAGCUUGCUAGGUGUCCUUAGUGGCGAACGGGUGAGUAACGCGUGGGAAUCUGCCAUAGAGUGGGGAACAACUUUUGGAAACGAAAGCUAAUACCGCAUACGCCCUCCGGGGGAAAGGCUUCGGCCGCUCUUUGAUGAUCCCGCGUCUGAUUAGCUUGUUGGUAGGGUAACGGCUUACCAAGGCGACGAUCAGUAGCUGGUCUGAGAGGAUGAUCAGCCACACUGGGACUGAGACACGGCCCAGACUCCUACGGGAGGCAGCAGUGGGGAAUAUUGGACAAUGGGGGAAACCCUGAUCCAGCAAUGCCGCGUGAGUGAAGAAGGCCUUAGGGUUGUAAAACUCUUUCGCCGGUGAAGAUGAUGACUGUAGCCGGUAAAGAAGCCCCGGCUAACUCCGUGCCAGCAGCCGCGGUAAUACGGAGGGGGCUAGCGUUGUUCGGAUUUACUGGGCGUAAAGCGCACGUAGGCGGCAUAUUAAGUUAGAGGUGAAAGGCCUGGGCUCAACCUAGGAACUGCCUUUAAUACUGGUAUGCUUGAGUUCGGAAGAGGGUAGUGGAAUUCCAAGUGUAGAGGUGAAAUUCGUAGAUAUUUGGAAGAACACCGGUGGCGAAGGCGGCUACCUGG
rnacentral:rRNA from 1 species